rnacentral:rRNA from 1 species
CACGAACCCGACAAACGUUAUUCGGAAUUAUUGGGCUUAAAGGGUGCGUAGGCGGUGCGGUAAGUGCGGUGUGAAAGCCCACGGCUCAACCGUGGAAUUGCGCUGCAUACUGCCGUGCUGGAGGAAGACAGGGGUAAGCGGAACUGAUGGUGGAGCGGUGAAAUGCGUUGAUAUCAUCAGGAACACCGGUGGCGAAAGCGGCUUACUGGGUCUUUGCUGACGCUGAGGCACGAAAGCUAGGGUAGCGAACGGG